GAUAAACGCUGGCGGCGUGCCUAAUACAUGCAAGUCGAACGAGGGGUUCUUGUAGUAAUACGAGGACUUCCUAGUGGCGAAUGGGUGAGUAACGCGUUGGUGACCUGCCCCAAAGAGAGGAAUAACUCCGGGAAACUGGAGCUAAUACCUCAUGUGGUUAUAAGGGUUAAAGGCCUUAUAACUAAAGGAGAAAUCCGCUUUGGGAGGGCCUGCGUCCCAUCAGCUAGUUGGUAGGUAAUGGCCUACCAAGGCUUCGACGGGUAGGGGGCCUGAGAGGGUGGCCCCCACACUGGCACUGAACAACGGGCCGACACGACCUACGGGAGGGCUG
rnacentral:rRNA from 1 species